CACAAAAUUUCUUGUCUUUCUCAGCUAGCAAACAUUUCCUCUUAGAAAGGACCUACAACCUUGUGCAGCACUAACAGAUUGCCGGUGAAAUUUUGUGUAUUCACAAAAGACCUGAGCCCAGAAAGCAGCCUCAGGGCAGUGUGUUGAAACAGUGAUGGAUCUCAUUCUAACAACAAAGGCCCAAGACUGGAAUCACCUGUAUGCUAGCUAUUUUCUGCUACCACAAACCACAGUAUCAUGAAAUGCCAAGGACUGUCUGUGGGUCAAGGCUGGACAAGAGAAAUGACUGGAAAGAAGGCAUCUUACACAGCAGGACUACUUUGAUCAAAUAGCUCCUUUUGCACCUGCACUCGCACAACCAGGAAUCAUAUCACAGAUAGACUGCAUAAGGUCUGCCUCAUUUUCACUUCAGAAUACAGCAAUUCAUGAUGUAAUUGUCACUUCUCAUUGUAUUCACCCACAUGAAAUUGCCAUUUGAAACACCAGGGGAGGAACUCAAUGACACCAAGGCCAUGUUUGCCUCCUUAGUGCACUUUUGUGGAUAUUGGUGUCCUGCUGAUAAAUCUGACCUUGUGAGAAAAAACAUUGUUAAAGACAAACAUAAAUGUUUCCAUGUAGCAUCUUUCCAAAACAGACUAAAGGAGUUAACCUGUGAGAGAUAAAGUACCCUUGAUUGGGCCAUCUGCAGAAAUAGAGUUUGAAUGUUGUUGUCAUUUUGCAUCUUUUGCACUAAACAAAAUUAAAUGGAAACACUGGCCUUAUUGCUUGCUUCUUCUACAGUCUUUUUCCCCCUAGAAGCUUUCCCUUCUAAUUAUAGUAAGUCAUGUGCAAAUCACAAUUCAGUAAUAUGAUUUUUUAAGCAGCUAUUCUGGAGACAUUUAUGCUUCAGAUGUAAGCAAUCAGCUCAUGAAGCACCUCACAGGUUUGUGGG